AACGAACGCUGGCGGCAGGCCUAACACAUGCAAGUCGAACGCCCUAGCAAUAGGGAGUGGCAGACGGGUGAGUAACACGUGGGAACGUGCCCUUCGGUUCGGAAUAACUCAGGGAAACUUGAGCUAAUACCGGAUAAGUGCGAGAGCAGAAAGAUUUAUCGCCGAAGGAUCGGCCCGCGUCCGAUUAGCUAGUUGGUGAGGUAAUGGCUCACCAAGGCGACGAUCGGUAGCUGGUCUGAGAGGAUGACCAGCCACACUGGGACUGAGACACGGCCCAGACUCCUACGGGAGGCAGCAGUGGGGAAUAGUGGACAAUGGGCGCAAGCCUGAUCCAGCCAUGCCGCGUGAGUGAUGAAGGCCCUAGGGUUGUAAAGCUCUUUCGCCAGGGACGAUAAUGACUGUACCGGGAGAAUAAGCCCCGGCUAACUUCGUGCCAGCCGCCGCGGUAA
rnacentral:rRNA from 1 species